GACGAACGCUGGCGGCGUGCUUAACACAUGCAAGUCGAACGGAAAGGCCCUGCUUUUGUGGGGUGCUCGAGUGGCGAACGGGUGAGUAACACGUGAGUAACCUGCCCUUGACUUUGGGAUAACUUCAGGAAACUGGGGCUAAUACCGGAUAGGAGCUCCUGCUGCAUGGUGGGGGUUGGAAAGUUUCGGCGGUUGGGGAUGGACUCGCGGCUUAUCAGCUUGUUGGUGGGGUAGUGGCUUACCAAGGCUUUGACGGGUAGCCGGCCUGAGUGGGUGACCGGCCACAUUGGGACUGAGAUACGGCCCAGACUCCUACGGGAGGCAGCAGUGGGGAAUAUUGCACAAUGGGCGGAAGCCUGAUGCAGCAACGCCGCGUGCGGGAUGACGGCCUUCGGGCUGUAAACCGCUUUCGCCUGUGACGAAGCGUGAGUGACGGUAAUGGGUAAAGAAGCACCGGCUAACUACGUG
rnacentral:rRNA from 1 species